UCAUCAACCCACAAGAUGAAAGAUGUGCAG
rnacentral:piRNA from 1 species